CCUACGGGUGGCAGCAGUGAGGAAUAUUGGUCACUGGGCGAGAGCCUGAACCAGCCAAGUCGCGUGAGGGAAGACGGUCCUAUGGCUUGUAAACCUCUUUUGUCGGGGAGCAAAAAGGCCUCGUGAGGCCACAAGUGAGAGUACCCGAAGACAAAGCAUCGGCUAACUCCGUGCCAGCAGCCGCGGUAAUACGGAGGAUGCGCGCGUUAUCCGGAUUUAUUGGGUUUAAAGGGAGCGUAGGUGGAUUGGUAAGUCAGUUGUGAAAGUUUGCGGCUCAACCGUAAAAUUGCAGUUGAAACUGGCAGUCUUGAGUACAGUAGAGGUGGGCGGAAUUCGUGGUGUAGCGGUGAAAUGCUUAGAUAUCACGAAGAACUCCGAUUGCGAAGGCAGUUCACUGGACUGCAACUGACACUGAGGCUCGAAAGUGUGGGUAUCAAACAGGAUUAGAUACCCCGGUAGUC
rnacentral:rRNA from 1 species